GACGGAGGGUGCUAGCGUUGUUCGGAAUUACUGGGCGUAAAGGGCGCGUAGGCGGCCCUGUCAGUCGGGUGUGAAAGCCCGGGGCUCAACCCCGGAACGGCACCCGAGACGGCGGGGCUGGAGACCGGGAGAGGAGGGUGGAAUAGCCAGUGUAGAGGUGAAAUUCGUAGAUAUUGGCUGGAACACCGGUGGCGAAAGCGGCUCACUGGUCCAUUACUGACGCUGAGGUGGCGAAAGCGUGGGGAGCAAACAGG
rnacentral:rRNA from 1 species